CCCGGACCAAGGCGCCCGCCGGAGGACCAACCAAAACUCUUUUUGUAUACCCCCUCGCGGGUUUUUUAUAAUCUGAGCCUUCUCGGCGCCUCUCGUAGGCGUUUCGAAAAUGAAUCAAAACUUUCAACAACGGAUCUCUUGGUUCUGGCAUCGAUGAAGAACGCAGCGAAAUGCGAUAAGUAAUGUGAAUUGCAGAAUUCAGUGAAUCAUCGAAUCUUUGAACGCACAUUGCGCCCGCCAGUAUUCUGGCGGGCAUGCCUGUCCGAGCGUCAUUUCAACCCUCGAACCCCUCCGGGGGGUCGGCGUUGGGGAUCGGCCCUCCCUUAGCGGGUGGCCGUCUCCGAAAUACAGUGGCGGUCUCGCCGCAGCCUCUCCUGCGCAGUAGUUUGCACACUCGCAUCGGGAGCGCGGCGCGUCCACAGCCGUUAAACACCCAACUUCUGAAAUGUUGACCUCGGAUCAGGUAGGAAUACCCGCUGAACUUAAGCAUAUCAAUA
rnacentral:misc_RNA from 1 species